rnacentral:rRNA from 1 species
GAUGAACGCUGGCGGCGUGCUUAACACAUGCAAGUCGAGCGAUGAAGUUUCCUUUGGGAAACGGAUUAGCGGCGGACGGGUGAGUAACACGUGGGUAACCUGCCUCAUAGAGUGGAAUAGCCUUCCGAAAGGAAGAUUAAUACCGCAUAACGUUGAAAGAUGGCAUCAUCAUUUAACCAAAGGAGCAAUCCGCUAUGAGAUGGACCCGCGGCGCAUUAGCUAGUUGGUGGGGUAACGGCCUACCAAGGCGACGAUGCGUAGCCGACCUGAGAGGGUGAUCGGCCACAUUGGGACUGAGACACGGCCCAGACUCCUACGGGAGGCAGCAGUGGGGAAUAUUGCACAAUGGGGGAAACCCUGAUGCAGCAACGCCGCGUGAGUGAUGAAGGUUUUCGGAUCGUAAAGCUCUG